GACGAACGCUGGCGGCGUGCUUAAUACAUGCAAGUCAACUGAAGCAGUGGUAGCAAUAUCGCUGUGGAGGUGGCGCACGGGUGAGUAACACCUAGGUAAUCUGCCUUCAGGUCUUGCAUAACUCCGUGAAACCGGGGCUAAUAGCAGAUGAUGCAGUGGCUCGACAUCGAGACAGUUGUUAAAGUUAUGGCGUCUGAGGAUGAGCCUGCGUCUGAUUAGCUAGUUGGCGGGGUAACGGCCCACCAAGGCAACGAUCAGUAGCUGGUCUGAGAGGAUGAUCAGACAAGAGGGAACUGAGACACGAUGCAGAGACGUACGGGAGGCAGCAGUAAGGAAUAGGGCGCAAGGGGAGAAAACCAGAAGCAGCAACGCCGCGAGAGGGACGAGGGGCUUUUGCUUGUAAACCUCUGUAGAGAGAGAAAAAAAUCCCAAUCUUAGGGACAGAAGGGAAUCUCAAAAGAAGGCCCGGGCAAACUAGGU
rnacentral:rRNA from 1 species